rnacentral:rRNA from 1 species
GUGCAGCAGUCGAGAAUCUUCGGCAAUGGGCGCAAGCCUGACCGAGCGACGCCGCGUGCGGGAUGAAGGCCUUCGGGUUGUAAUCCGCUGUCAGAGGGGAGGAAAUGGCGGCCCUCAGGGUCGUCUUGACCAAACCUCAGAGGAAGGACGGGCUAAGUUCGUGCCAGCAGCCGCGGUAAGACGAACCGUCCAAACGUUAUUCGGAAUUACUGGGCUUAAAGGGUGCGUAGGCGGCCUGGCAAGUUGGGUGUGAAAGCCCUCGGCUCAACCGAGGAAUUGCGCCCAAAACUGCUAGGCUUGAGGGAGAUAGAGGUGAGCGGAACUUGGGGUGGAGCGGUGAAAUGCAUUGAUAUCCCAAGGAACACCAGAGGCGAAAGCGGCUCACUGGGUCUCUUCUGACGCUGAGGCACGAAAGCUAGGGGAGCGAACGGGAUUAGAUACCCAAGUAGUCC